CCUACGGGGGGCAGCAGUGGGGAAUAUUGCACAAUGGGGGAAACCCUGAUGCAGCGACGCCGCGUGAGUGAAGAAGUAUUUCGGUAUGUAAAGCUCUAUCAGCAGGGAAGAAAAAAGACGGAACCUGACUAAGAAGCCCCUGCUAACUACGUGCCAGCAGCCGCGGUAAUACGUAGGGGGCACGCGUUAUCCGGAUUUACUGGGUGUAAAGGGAGCGUAGACGGCUGUGCAAGUCUGAAGUGAAAGGCCAGGGCUCAACCCUGGGACUGCUUGGGAAAUUGGGGGGCUAGAGUGCUGGAGAGGUAAGUGGAAUUCCUAGUGUAGCGGUGAAAUGCGUAGAUAUUAGGAGGAACACCAGUGGCGAAGGCGGCUUACUGGACAGUAACUGACGUUGAGGCUCGAAAGCGUGGGGAGCAAACAGGAUUAGAUACCCUUGUAGUC
rnacentral:rRNA from 1 species